rnacentral:rRNA from 1 species
UUGGAUAACCGUGGUAAUUCUAGAGCUAAUACAUGCUAAAAACCCCAACUUCGGAAGGGGUGUAUUUAUUAGAUAAAAAACCAACGCCCUUCGGGGCUUCUUGGUGAUUCAUGAUAACUUCACGGAUCGCAUGGCCUUGCGCCGGCGACGGUUCAUUCAAAUUUCUGCCCUAUCAACUUUCGAUGGUAAGGUAUUGGCUUACCAUGGUUUCAACGGGUAACGGGGAAUUAGGGUUCGAUUCCGGAGAGGGAGCCUGAGAAACGGCUACCACAUCCAAGGAAGGCAGCAGGCGCGCAAAUUACCCAAUCCCGACACGGGGAGGUAGUGACAAUAAAUACUGAUACAGGGCUCUUUUGGGUCUUGUAAUUGGAAUGAGUACAAUUUAAACCUCUUAACGAGGAACAAUUGGAGGGCAAGUCUGGUGCCAGCAGCCGCGGUAAUUCCAGCUCCAAUAGCGUAUAUUAAAGUUGUUGCAGUUAAAAAGCUCGUAGUUGAAACUUGGGUCUGGCUGGCAGGUCCGCCUCACCGCGUGUACUUGUCCGGCCGGGCCUUUCCUUCUGGAGAACCUCAUGCCCUUCACUGGGCGUGUUGGGGAACCAGGACUUUUACUUUGAAAAAAUUAGAGUGUUCAAAGCAGGCCUUUGCUCGAAUACGUUAGCAUGGAAUAAUAGAAUAGGACGUGCGGUCCUAUUUUGUUGGUUUCUAGGACCGCCGUAAUGAUUAAUAGGGACAGUCGGGGGCAUCAGUAUUCAAUUGUCAGAGGUGAAAUUCUUGGAUUUAUUGAAGACUAACUACUGCGAAAGCAUUUGCCAAGGAUGUUUUCAUUAAUCAGUGAACGAAAGUUAGGGGAUCGAAGACGAUCAGAUACCGUCGUAGUCUUAACCGUAAACUAUGCCGACUAGG